AGUGAACGCUGGCGGUAGGCCUAACACAUGCAAGUCGAACGGCAGCACAGUAAGAGCUUGCUCUUACGGGUUGCGAGUGGCGGACGGGUGAGGAAUACAUCGGAAUCUACUUUUUCGGGGGGCAUAACGUAGGGAAACUUACGCUAAUACCGCAUACGACCUACGGGUGAAAGCAGGGGAUCGUCGGACCUUGCGCGAUUGAAUGAGCCGAUGUCGGAUUAGCUAGUUGGCGGGGUAAAGGCCCACCAAGGCGACGUUCCGUAGCUGGUCUGAGAGGAUGAUCAGCCACACUGGAACUGAGACACGGUCCAGACUCCUACGGGAGGCAGCCGUGGGGAAUAUUGGACCAUGGGCGCAAGCCUGAUCCAGACAUACCGCGUGGGUGAAGAAGGCCUUCGGGUUGUAAAGCCCUUUUGUCGGGAAAGAAAAGCAGCAGGUUAAUACCCAGCUGUUCUGACGGUAACCAAAGAAUAAACACCGGCUAACUUCGUG
rnacentral:rRNA from 1 species